rnacentral:lncRNA from 1 species
CCCCAACUUGCUUCUUGGUCAUGAUGUUUGUGCAGGAAUAGAAACCCUGACUAAGACAAGGUAAAAUUGCUUCUUGUUCUGUUUUGUUGAUUGUUUUUGUGCCUAGUCUAAAUGUCAUGUACUUUUCUAGGAGAUGGUAAGGAUCAGUUGUAUGCUUCAUUUGAGCACAAAAUGACACAGGAGUUCUUUCUGCUCUGCCUCUAGUGAGCACAAAAAGGCGCCUGGCAUAUCUGUCUUCUGUGAAGCACAACCCUGCAACCAAUGGAAAGAGAGACCCACAGCCAAACAUGAGAUGGAGCUUAGAGGGUCUUGUUGAAGAGUUAGGGGAAGGAUUGAGGAACCUGAAGAGGACAGUGUCUCCACAGGAAUACCAACAGAGUCAAGUCAACUAUCGUACCUAGGCCCUCUGAACACAAUCAAAUGUGCAACUUAUUCUUCAUGCAGGUCCGUUUAGAGCUAUAGUGGAAGCUGUGCAUGCAACUGUUGCCUACUUCCUUAUGGACCUCAUUCUCCUAACUGGGUUGCCUGGCAUCAGUGGAAGAGGUUAUGUCUAGUACUGAUGUACUGGAGGGCAUAACAACAACAACAACAACAACAACAACAACAACAACAACAUGAUGAUGAUGAUGGUGAUGAUGAUGAUGAUGAUAUUUAGCAGGAAGCUCUCCCUUCUCAGAGGAGAAGAAGAAGAAGGAAUGGGUUAGGAUCGGCAUGAGGGGAU